GGCUCUGUAGUGAAGUUCAUAGUGAGUUGCAAGCUCAUUGAUGUGCAUCAACCAUGCACCGGAGUCU
rnacentral:tRNA from 1 species